rfam:Hordeum vulgare subsp. vulgare, WGS project CAJW01000000 data, contig: morex_contig_38175
AAUAUACUCCCUCCGUCCCAAAAUUCUUGUCUUAAAUUUAUCUAGAUAUGAAUGUAUCUAGUCACGUUUUAGUAUUUUGAUACAUCCAUUUCUAGAGAAACCUAAGACGAGAAUUUUGGGACGAAGGCCGGUUUAGA